AUUGAACGCUGGCGGAAUGCUUUACACAUGCAAGUCGAACGGUAGAGGGGGCAACCCCUUGAGAGUGGCGAACGGGUGAGUAAUAUAUCGGAACGUGCCCAGUCGUGGGGAUAACGUAGCGAAAGCUACGCUAAUACCGCAUACGAUCUAUGGAUGAAAGCGGGGGAUCGCAAGACCUCGCGCGAUUGGAGCGGCCGAUAUCAGAUUAGGUAGUUGGUGAGGUAAAGGCUCACCAAGCCGACGAUCUGUAGCUGGUCUGAGAGGACGACCAGCCACACUGGGACUGAGACACGGCCCAGACUCCUACGGGAGGCAGCAGUGGGGAAUUUUGGGACAAUGGGCGCAAGCCUGAUCCAGCAAUGCCGCGUGCAGGAUGAA
rnacentral:rRNA from 1 species